AAAAAAAAAAAAGAGAACGAAAAACCCGACAGAAAAGGAAAGACAGAUGUGUGCCUAUGAAUAACCUUCCAGCGCCUUGGUUAUAUCAGCUGUAUUUCAGCCGAACCUCGGAGAAAACAAUACCCAACCCUUCUGCCAGCAGUGUAGGGGGGGAAAAAGUUACCUUUAGGAAUCCUGAGGAGCGGCCCGAGCAGGGAGCGAGCUCUGGUCUUCAAUAAGCAGCAGCAGCACGCGAGUGGACAGGCGCCUUCCCACUGCACUGCCAGCACGCCACCCCUCCUGCACCUGGGAGCGAGAGGGAUUUGGGAUGUGAACAGUGGGCCAUGCAUUGUUCCUGAACCGUAAAACUGAUUUAUUUCAUUGCUAAAUCUCUGUGAGCUGCAGCACCGCGGCCUUGGGGGCAACGGGCCUGCGGCCGCCUCUGCGCUGGGCAGCAGGGCCCGGGUGGCUCCGCUGAGGGACCGCGACCUCCAGCUCUCUCUCCUGAAGGAUUACAGCAGCAGCAGAAGGAAAUAUAACCCCCAAAAGGCCGAUCUUUCAGUCAGCUCCAGGAACAGGAUGAAUGUGGCGUGGGGACCAAAGCAGGAGUAAAGAGCCGUGGUUUGUAAACAGCCCCAGCUGAGGAGAUGGAGAAGGUCCGGGUUAAAGCCAGCCCGGGUUAAAGCCAGCCCAGGUUAAAGCCAGCCCUGCAAACUCACGGUGCCUCUGGGCCCAGGGAGGCAAAGCUCCUCAAGGCAGCCUUGGUUUGGAGGAGGGACAGAAGGCGUUUCACUGAAAUUAGCGCGUUUUAGAGCCCUUUGGCUGUUCUGUAAAUACAACCACAGCGAGGGCUGGGUUAUGUCUUAUUUUUAAACAAAUUAGGUUGAGACAAAAGGGAUGCAAUGAAAGACGAAAUCAAGUAAGUUUAUAAACAGAAGCACUUCAAAGGCUGCUGGAAAGCCGGAGAAAAUAGGAGAAUUUCGUCUAAAGAAAAGAAAAUCUCUGCUGGUUAUUGCCCAUCGAUUUCAGUGUUCCUGUGAGCAAAAGG
rnacentral:lncRNA from 1 species